rnacentral:rRNA from 1 species
UGGGGAAUAUUGGACAAUGGGCGCAAGCCUGAUCCAGCCAUGCCGCGUGAGUGAUGAAGGCCCUAGGGUUGUAAAGCUCUUUUGUGCGGGAAGAUAAUGACGGUACCGCAAGAAUAAGCCCCGGCUAACUUCGUGCCAGCAGCCGCGGUAAUACGGAGGGGGCUAGCGUUGUUCGGAAUUACUGGGCGUAAAGCGCACGUAGGCGGCUUUGUAAGUUAGAGGUGAAAGCCCGGAGCUCAACUCCGGAACUGCCUUUAAGACUGCAUCGCUUGAACGUCGGAGAGGUAAGUGGAAUUCCGAGUGUAGAGGUGAAAUUCGUAGAUAUUCGGAAGAACACCAGUGGCGAAGGCGACUUACUGGACGACUGUUGACGCUGAGGUGCGAAAGCGUGGGGAGCAAAC